rnacentral:hammerhead_ribozyme from 1 species
AUCCAGCUGACGAGUUCCAAAUAGAACAAAAUGCUCGUCGUGGAU